GACGCCUCUUUAUCAAACUGUCUGCUACAGCUUCUUUCAUGAAUGUUCAAGUAGAAUAGUUGUAUAAGAGAGUUGAAGAGAGCUCAUAAAGCUUCACUAAAUCCUUAUCAAAAUCAAUGCCACAAAGCUCCGUUUGUGCUUACGUUCUUGAGUUAAAAACCUUCUUUUGUUAUCAGUAUAAGCUUUUGUUGAGUUUGAAUUUGAUUGAGUUGUUG
rnacentral:lncRNA from 1 species